UACGUAGGGGGCAAGCGUUGUCCGGAAUCAUUGGGCGUAAAGCGCGCGUAGGCGGCCCGGUAAGUCCGCUGUAAAAGUCCAGGGCUCAACCCUGGAAAGCCGGUGGAUACUGUCGGGCUAGAGUCCGGAAGAGGCGAGUGGAAUUCCUGGUGUAGCGGUGGAAUGCGCAGAGUAUCAGGAGGAACACCGAUAGCGAAGGCAGCUCGCUGGGACGGUACUGACGCUGGAGGUGCGAAAGCGUGGGGAGCGAACAGGAUUAG
rnacentral:rRNA from 1 species